rnacentral:rRNA from 1 species
GACGAACGCUGGCGGCGUGCUUAACACAUGCAAGUCGAACGGAAAGGCCCUGCUUUUGUGGGGUUCUCGAGUGGCGAACGGGUGUGUAACACGUGUGUAACCUGCCCUUUACUUUGGGAUAACUUCUGGAAACUGUGGCUAAUACCGGAUAGGAGCUCCUGCUGCAUGGUGGGGGUUGGAAAGUUUCGGCGGUUGGGGAUUGACUCGCGGCUUAUCAGCUUGUUUGUGGGGUAGUGGCUUACCAAGGCUUUGACGGGUAGCCGGCAUGAGAGGGUGACCGGCAAAAAUGGGACUGAGAAACGGAGCAGAAGAGUACGGGAGGCAGCAGGGGGGAAUAUUGCAGAAUGGGCGGAAGACUGAUGCAGAAACGCAGGGUGCGGGAUGAAGGCAUAAGGGUUGGAAAAAGAAUUAGCAUGUGAAGAAGAGGGAGUGACGGUAAUGGGUAAAGAAGCACCGGCUAACUACGUG